rnacentral:rRNA from 1 species
GUGUGGUGCAUUACACGGCAUUCCGUUCCCGUAGCCAACCCCAUAAAUACAUCCCCCCGGGGAGGAAGGCUGCCAGGAAUGAAAUUCAAAGAAAUGACGGGGGCCCCCCCCAAGCGCGGGGCAAGGGGAUUUAUUUGAUAGCAACGCGAGAACCCUACCCAGGCCUGACCAUCAUCACGAGUGGUCGGUGAUGCAUCCACCUCUUUUGGGGUGGGGUGACAGGUGGUGCAUGCCUGUCGUCAGCUCGUGUCGUGAGAUGUUGGGUUAAGUCCCGCAACGAGCGCAACCCCUAUCCUUAGUAGCCAGCGAGCAAGACGGGCACUCUAGGGAGACUGCCGGGGAUAACCCGGAGGAAGGUGGGGAUGACGUCAAAUCAUCAUGCCCCUUAUGGCCUGGGCUACACACGUGCUACAAUGGCGUAAACAAAGGGAAGGGAAGGCGUGAGCGUAAGCAAAACCCAAAAAUAACGUCCCAGUUCGGAUUGUAGUUUGCAACCCGACUACAUGAAGCUGGAAUCGCUAGUAAUCGCGGAUCAGAAUGCCGCGGUGAAUACGUUCCCGGGUCUUGUACUCACCGCCCGUCA